GUUUCUUAACCACUGAGUAAUAUGGUUGCCUGAUGCAAAGUGAUGUAUAUACAGAAAAAAAUUUAAAAAUUAGCUAUAAAAUGAACAUAGUCAUGGCUGGGCGCGGUGGCUCACGCCUGUAAUCCCAGCACUUUGGAAGGCCGAGGCAGGUCGAUCACCUGAGGUCAGUUCAAGACCAGCCUGGCCAACAUGGUGAAACCCAUCUCUACUGAAAAAAAAAAGAAUUAGCCAGGCAAGGUGGUGUACGCUUGUAAUCCCAGCUACUCAGGAGGCUGAGGCAGGAGAAUCGCUUGAACCUGGGAGGCAGAGGUUGCUGUGAGCUGAGAUUAUGCAACUGUACUCCAGCCUGGGUGACAGAGUGAGACUCCAUCUCAAAAAAAGGAAAAGGAACAUAGUCAUGUCCUCUGUUCCUAGAGUUGUUUUGUGAAACACAAAUGGCUUGAUUGAUAUGUGUAGAGCACUGUGUGUAAGAGAAAGGCCUGGCCCCACGGUAAGCUUCUACAUUGUGAUUCUGUUUUUUGCAGAUGACUCAACCAGCAUCCACAAGUGAGGAUAACAGGCAUUGGUUACCUUCAAAUUUAAGAGAAGUUCAUCUCAGUCAGGAUUCAGAACAGAACUCCAGCCGCCCCGGGACCAUCAAGCAACCAGGCGUAGGUGCUCACUGAGACCACUGUCUUCACUGUUUUCCUGCAUUUUCUGCGAAUCACCGGUGAGUUCUCUCUCACAUUAUGAAGCUUCACAAAUGUGUGUUUUGAGCUAUCUGAGUGUUUUUGAGCAUUUUAAAAAAAAAUCUAAGCUGGGUUUAAAGUCUCCACAAAAACUGAACUGGGUUCAGUAGGUAAGGUUACUCUAUCCAAUAAGGAAUUCCUUUCCACCUUCUGAAACUCCACCGAGGGUUAGUUUGUGCUCUGAAAAGGCAUAUGUGUCCUUCUUGGGGUGGCUGGCUUGUGUUAAAUAGAAACUGGAAUGGGUCUAGGGUGUGGAACUCCUACAUUUGAAAUCCCAGCCAAGUUCAUGCAUAAGAAUCCCCAGAAAAACCCCAGAAUUAUACUUUUUUUUUUUUUUUUUAGAGGAAUGGACAAACCUUGCCAAAGGUAAUUUGGAAUUAUAGUGGCCACAAUUAGAAAGUUUUAAUUUGGGUAAAAUUAUUUGUAAAAUUAUUUGUAGGAUAUAUUAGAAAAGGAACAAUCAAAAGCCCCACAGAAGCC
rnacentral:lncRNA from 1 species